GACGAACGCUGGCGGCGUGCUUAACACAUGCAAGUCGAACGGAAAGGCCCUGCUUUUGUGGGGUGCUCGAGUGGCGAACGGGUGAGUAACACGUGAGUAACCUGCCCUUGACUUUGGGAUAACUUCAGGAAACUGGGGCUAAUACCGGAUAGGAGCUCCUGCUGCAUGGUGGGGGUUGGAAAGUUUCGGCGGUUGGGGAUGGACUCGCGGCUUAUCAGCUUGUUGGUGGGGUAGUGGCUUACCAAGGCUUUGACGGGUAGCCGGCCUGAGAGGGUGACCGGCCACAUUGGGACUGAGCUCCGGCCCAGACUCCUACGGGAGGCAGCAGUGGGGAAUAUUGCACAAUGGGCGGAAGCCUGCUGCAGCAACGCCGCGUGCGGGAUGACGGCCUUCGGGUUGUAAACCGCUUUCGCCUGUGACGAAGCGUGAGUGACGGUAAUGGGUAAAGAAGCACCGGCUAACUACGUG
rnacentral:rRNA from 1 species